UACGGAGGGAGCUAGCGUUGUUCGGAAUUACUGGGCGUAAAGCGCACGUAGGCGGCUACUCAAGUCAGAGGUGAAAGCCCAGGGCUCAACCUUGGAACUGCCUUUGAAACUAGGUAGCUAGAAUUCUGGAGAGGUCAGUGGAAUUCCGAGUGUAGAGGUGAAAUUCGUAGAUAUUCGGAAGAACACCAGUGGCGAAGGCGGCUCACUGGACCGGUAUUGACGCUGAGGAGCGAAAGCGUGGGGAGCGAACAGG
rnacentral:rRNA from 1 species